CAAGAUUGGCUUAGACAAGAAACUAAGCCUAUUUGUGUUGAAGAAAGUUUGGAGUUUCUUGAAAAAAUUGAACUUGAGAUGGCAAAUAGUGGAAGAAACUCUUCCAUUGUUGAUCUAUGAUUGACUUGCAAGUCUCAAGUAUUUAAUAGUGGUCCAAGAGUCAAGACAAUGAAGAAAGGUGUAAAGUACCAAGUUUUGUUAGUGUUUUGAUAAUUUUGUUGGCAUUUGAGACUUGAAAGUGGUCUCAUGGAAGAAAGUCAAGAAACUACAUUGUUGCUCAUUAUUGUUAUUUGUUAUUGUUGGCACUUGAAACUUGAAAGUGGUCUCAUGGAAGAGGCUACAUUGUUUGUUGUUGAUUAUUGUUGUUUGUUA